GCCAGCGUAGUGUAGUGGUUUGAGCGUUGGACUACAACUCUGGAGACAAGGGCUCAAUUCCCUGCUUAGCCA
rnacentral:tRNA from 1 species